AUUAGCUAGUUGGUGGGGUAAUGGCCUACCAAGGCGAUGAUCCGUAGGGGGCGUGAGAGCGUGACCCCCCACACUGGCACUGAGAUACGGGCCAGACUCCUACGGGAGGCAGCAGUGAGGAAUAUUGCACAAUGGGCGAAAGCCUGAUGCAGCAACGCCGCGUGAGGGACGAAGGCCUUCGGGUUGUAACGGCUUCGUUAGUCGGAUGUGAAAGCUCCUGGCUUAACCGGGAGAGGCCAUUCGAUACUGCGAGGCUUGAGGUUGGAAGAGGGGUGUGGAAUUCCCGGUGUAGUGGUGGAAUGCGUAGAUAUCGGGAGGAACACCUGUGGCGAAAGCGGCACCCUGGUCCACACCUGACGCUGAGGUGCGAAAGCGUGGGUAGCAAACAGGAUUAGAUACCCUGGUAGUCCACGCCGUAAACGAUGUCAACUGGGUGUCGGUGGUUUUACACUAUCGGUGCCGAAGCAAACGCGUUAAGUUGACCGCCUGGGGACUACGGCCGCAAG
rnacentral:rRNA from 1 species